UACGUAGGGGGCAAGCGUUGUCCGGAUUUAUUGGGCGUAAAGAGCUCGUAGGCGGCUUGUCGCGUCGUUCGUGAAAACCCGGGGCUCAACUCCGGGCUUGCGGGCGAUACGGGCAGGCUAGAGUUCGGUAGGGGAGACUGGAAUUCCUGGUGUAGCGGUGAAAUGCGCAGAUAUCAGGAGGAACACCGGUGGCGAAGGCGGGUCUCUGGGCCGAUACUGACGCUGAGGAGCGAAAGCGUGGGGAGCGAACAGG
rnacentral:rRNA from 1 species